ACUGCUAUCGGGAUAGGACUAAGACAUGCUAGUCAUGCGCUUUCUAGCUAAUGUGAAAGUGCGGCAUACAGCUCAGUAACACGUGGCUAACCUGCCCUUGGGACGGAAACAACCCCGGGAAACUGGGGCUAAUUUUCGAUAGGUGAAAAAUUCUGGAAUGAAUUUUCGCUUAAAAGGCGUUUAUGUCAUGCUCAUAGGCGUUGCCCAGGGAUGGGGCCGCGACCGAUCAGGUUGUUGGUGAGGUAAUGGCUCACCAAGCCUUUUACCGGUACGGGCCGUGAGAGCGGGAGCCCGGAGAUGGGCACUGAGACAAGGGCCCAGGCCCUACGGGGCGCAGCAGUCGCGAAAACUUUGCAAUACACGAAAGUGUGACAAGGCUAUCCCGAGUGCCAUCCGCUGAGGAAGGCUUUUAUCCAGUAUAAAUAGCUGGGAGAAUAAGGAGAGGGCAAGUCUGGUGUCAGCCGCCGCGGUAAUACCAGCUCUCCGAGUAGUGUGGAUGUUUAUUGGGCCUAAAGCAUCCGUAGCUUGCUAAGCAAGUCCCCUGUUAAAUCCACCGAUUCAAUCGGUGGAUUGCGGGGGAUACUGUUUGGCUAGGGGACGGGAGAGGCCGACGGUAUUUCCGGGGUAGGGGUGAAAUCCUAUAAUCCCGGGAAGACCACCAGUGGCGAAGGCUGUCGGCUAGAACGCGCCCGACGGUGAGGGAUGAAAGCUGGGGGAGCGAACCGGAUUAGAUACCCGGGUAGUCCCAGCUGUAAACGAUGCAGGCUAGGUGUUUGGGCGGCCACGAGCCGCUCUAGUGCCGCAGGGAAGCUGUUAAGCCUGCCGCCUGGGGAGUACGGCCGCAAGGCUGAAACUUAAAGGAAUUGGCGGGGGAGCACCACAAGGGGUGAAG
rnacentral:rRNA from 1 species